UUUACCUCUCGGUCGCCCUCAUCUGCAGCACAGAGCUCAGAACUGCCAUAGCCCUCUUCCCCUGCUCGUCUUGCUCAGCGCCGGCAAGCCCCGCCCGCCGCUCAAGCUCGCCCCAGUUCCCUUCCAGCCACCUUUUUGCUUCGCUCGUAGCUUCGCGGCAUCGCUACGCACUGGUGAAGCUGCAAGGGUGCCUUGAUGCCGCUUUCUGGCGACGUUGCCGUCGCUUCUCUCUGCACGCUGUGCCCCUCACCGUGGCCAUGCCACCUCAAACCAUCUCGCAGCAAGCCGUGGUCACCAGAGGGUGCACAUAGGCCCAACCAUGCUCCAGUACCUCUCCCUUGUCGCCAACAGACGGUCGCCGGUCGGAAAUCCGGCUUUCCGGCGCGCCUCCUUUGUUUUCAAUUCGCGCCAGGGACUUCGCGUUAGAAUUCGACACAAGGCAAGGGUCUAACUGCGAAGUUCGUGACUCAGGUGAAUAGUGCCAUCAGGACCUGUUUGUAGAUGAUUUGUUAGAAAUUUGGAAAAUUCAUAUCUAGAGUUUGGUAGCUCCAAUUUUGGUGAACCAAAUUUUGUUGUGCUCCUUGAAAUGUCUAGUUUUUAUUCAAAAUAUGGAACUGACUAUGUUUUAUAGUAAAAUAAUUAGUUAUGAAUUAUGUCUUUUAAUUAUGCUUAAAAGGAAGAAAUUCAUAUCUAUUGCUGUAUAGCUUCUUUUAAGAUGAAACUUUUAUGGUAGGCUAAUGAUUAUGUGUGUGUGCUGUGGUUAGGUUUUUAGAUUCAUUGGAUGAAAUAUGAUUAAGUUAUUAAUUUAUCUUGUUUAGUGCUUAUUAAAUAGUUUACAAUUAAACUAAAAAUUAAUAAAUGUAAAAUAUGGUUCCUCUGCCUUUAUAUGAGAUUGUUAUAUCAUAUAGAUACAUAAUUUAGCUAUGUGUUUGUAGAAAAUGUCGAGUUUCUUAUUUAUCUUGCUGUUACAUGCUUCCUUGUGAUGGAAAUUUAUCUUUUUCAUGGAAAUUGCUAUGCUUAUCCAAAUGGCAUGAAAUUUAUACAAUAGACUUUGGAAAACAUAUAUGAGCUGCUGUAGUUUCUCAGAAUUUACUGUGUACUUUUGAUAUAUGGUUAUUACUUAGUCUAUUUAUCUAAAUAAAUUAAUAAAGACAUGAAAUGUAUUUAUUUAGGGAAGGCCGGCUGGGCCAAGUUUCACGCGAGCUUGGGCCAAGUUUCUGGGCCGCAGGGGUACAGUGUUGUUUUUCUUUUCUUUUUGUGUAGUUUUUUAUAUAUGUUUGAAUUUGUAUAAUAAAUCUUUUACUGGUCCAAAACUGAUGAAAAUUUUUGUGUGGAUUCCAGAGAAUGUAAAGAGUGUAGGAAAAAUAUUAAAUUUUAUUUUAUGAUAGUUUGCAUGUAUCUUUAAAUUGCCUUUAUUUAAUAAUAAAUAAACCUUCCAUGAUUUUUAACAAUUUAUGGGUAUAUCCAAAAAUCAUGAAAUUUAAUAUGUGAACUUGUGUUACUGUUAUCUAGCUUCAGAAAUAUUUUCAGCUCUUUUUAAUAAAGUAUGCUCUGUUUCUUAAUAAAGCUAUUUAAAAUCAGUAUAAAAGAAAUAGAAAUAAUUAAUCCUUUUAGGAUUUGAGUGAUAUGUUGGGUUGAUUGACAACCAGUGGUCACUUAGCAUGAUAUGCUCCCUGGUUAUGGUUUAUUUUCAUAUAAAUACUCUUUGUGGUAUGAUAGCUUCACAAUCUUGUUUAAUAAAGAUGAUAAACUUAGUUUAGUAAUAAUCCAUGCUUUGAUAGCUAGAUUAGUUUAUUUCUUUAUCAUGAAGGUAAAUUGUACUCGAGAUAAUCAUAUUUUGUUAUAUCAUCCAAGAAUAUGUAACCUGUCUUUAUCAUGCCAUGAGUGUAUCAUAAUCAUGCAUAUGCACUUUUACGUAUAGAAUACGCUCCGGAAGAAUCUGAUCCUCAGUGGGUUGCUUCCGAAUUUGUGGAUCCUUCGGGUUUUGCUGAGUUGCCGAACUUCCCUUCCGGUCAAGGCAAGCCCCGGACAUUAAACCCUAUCCUUGUAUUUUCAUAAAGUCAUUUAUAUCACUUGAGUUAAUAUGAUGCAUUAGGUGAAUAGGAGUUGAGUGAAUCCUAUUUGCUGCAUUAUCUACCUUGAUGAUUUCCAUAUUAACCUUGAUACCUGCUUUAUGAAAAUGCUUAGUAUGCUUAGCCCUGCUUAUUAGAUAAGUUUUCAAAUGAGAACGUUUGAAGGGUCGUUGUGGAAUACUUUUAUGGUUAAUAGUGUUUAAACUUGAGACCGGUCGGUGGACUUGCUUUAAGAAUGGAGUCUUAAAGUAGUGUCUCCAACUGAGUCGAUUAAGGACCGUACCGUUGAUUGGCCUGUUGUGAUUGAGACCUUUGAGUACAGCCCACAUGCGGCGGUAAGCCUUACCUAUAGCUAUUCCGAUACUUGAGAACGGCUAACCGCGUACUGGGAGUGGAAAGAUGGCGAGAGUAGCGUGUACCCACCUUACGGAUCUGAGAUGACCGGGAAACAUCUAGAUUGGCUGUAGGAUGGUGGUGUACUGUACUCUCGGGUGACGCUAGACCCGUUCUUGUAUGGGAGGAUCUAUAGAAAAGGUUGACAUAUGCAAGAUUAAGUUCUACAUAUGUCGUGUGGUACUGAAUCCCCAGCUGGGUUUAAUCGAUUCGAAUCGCCGUGUUUUCUCGGAUAUGGAGCCUCAAUCCUCACCCCAUCAUCGUAGUAAUAAGUGAAUCUUUGGUAUAAGAAAGAGGUGAUUUGCUUAUGAAAGUUGGAUAAUGAUCUUGGCUAGUUAUAAGUGAUAAUCUUGAGUUAAAACUUGAAAGUAGGCUUUACUCUUAGUAAGCUUUUACGCAAAAGAAAUACUUGAUCUUGAUAAAGCUUUGCCUUGAAUCCCUAUAGCCUGCAUAUCUGAGUCUUCACCUCUUUUCUAGUCGGUUAAGUCUUGUUGAGUACUUUUGUACUCAGGGUUUUAUAACCCCUGUUGCAGGUGCUGACUUAGUCUGCUAAUGGAGGUCAUGUCGGUGGGCGCGACAUGAUUUAUCCACCUCUUCUACCUUAGAAGCUUCACCUAAGAUGCUUCCGCUACUCUAUACACCUUUUGGAAAUUUAGUUAAGUUUAUACUUCAUCAUAUGUUGUAAAUUAAGUUAUAAAUCUUCCGCACUCUGAUCUAAGUUAUUUUUGUAACAAAUGUUGUAAUGUUGUGGUAACUCCAUGUUGAUCAUGUA
rnacentral:lncRNA from 1 species